rnacentral:lncRNA from 1 species
CCUGCUUCCCUAUACUUAUAACCCAGCCUCCAGUGCUCCUACACCACCAUUUUUAAGGGGUUUACCCCGCGGACUUCUCCAAAGUUUGUAGAUUUUAUCUCUUUCUGCACCGCGUUGAGUAGAGGUGACGGGUCCCUGUGGGGGAUCGCUCCGGGUGAGAGGGACAAGAAACACCCACUAGGACCCAACCCAGGCAGCCAGCGGCCGAGCAUGCGCUGAGAGUUUGUGCAGCUGGCCCUGGCCGCCACUGCUGCCUUGUCCGGACUUGGCGAGGACUUGGGAGGGACAGCGGCGCUGGGAGGUGGCUUAGCAGAGACUUUCCAGCAACUGCUGCCCAGGACUCUUUUUUUUUUUUUUUUUCCUUUUUCCCAGGAGGCGGCGACGGCGGCGGGGGGAGAGGAAGAGAAGGAAGCGUCUGCAGCUUGAGUCAAUGCAGCCCUUCGGCUCUCCGGGAAGAGCGUUCCAACCCCGAUGAGUCCCCUCCGUGCGUCCCCAACUAUCCCCGGGAGGGAGUGGGGCACGGAGCCCAGCGCCGACGGUGAGUGGCCGCACGUCUCUCGUCUUUCCUGCCCGCUGUCCCACCAGCCUGCUGGCGGCUGCCCUCGCGCUGUGUGCUAAACUACUUAAAGGCUGGUUUUGCAGCACCGCGCCGCCGGCGAUUCCCCCCGCGCCCUGCCGGGGGCGCGCGGACGCGGUGGCGGGGCCGGUGACCGCGCUGGCUUUGUGCUCUGAGGGCGGCUGGGAGCGCCGGGUCGCGGCCGUGUCCGGGGUCGGGGGAGGGGGUAUGAAUGACUAUCCGGCGUCUGCACAGCUGCACCGACCCUAAUUCCCCGACGCCCCCUCCUCGUCCCCAGCCCCAGGCUAAUCCAUCAUUCUGGGACGGAAAACAUCAUUUCUCACGUUCUCCCAGAGAAACUCUAGUCGUCAAACGGAAUCCCAGCUCCGCGCUGCCCUUCGGGACCCCGAGAGGGAGUGCGGAGUUGGGGGCGUCCAGGAUCUGUCCUAAGGAGAAGGGCACUCGCGCCAUCGGACUCGCGGGUGGCGCCUGUGACGUCUCCGGGGGUGGGCAGUAUAGUUUCUAACCUUCGGGACAGUGCUGAGCUGAGCUGUCCCCAAGGAGAGGCGUGGGUUGAGGGAGGUUUUGAAGGGCGUCUUAUCAGAAUGCAGAGGGCCCCGCCGCGUGUCCCCAGAGAACCAGAGUUGACUGUGCACUUUCAUUCAUCCUGAGAGUCAAUCUUUCCCUUCCCAGCAGGUGUUAUCUGACGCCAGAGUGGAACUUGGGGAGUUUAGUUCCCACUAAGACUUAAGCAAAUGAUGUUUGAUGAAUUGAUGUCCCAGAUGAGCUAGGCUUAGGGACCCUCAGGACCCUGCGGAGGGCUGGCGGAGGACGAAUGGGCUGACGAUGGGGAACGCAGUAUAGAGAAGUCCUCUGUUGUCCUCCGCCCCCUGCAGACCGCUGCUACUUUGCCUGUGGGAGUAGAAUGUGGUGAAAGGAUGGGGCUUCUCCCUCCUGAGGCUCACAAUGGCCAGAGAAGAUUCCGUGAAGUGCUUGCGCUGCUUGCUGUACGCCCUCAAUUUGCUCUUUUGGGUAAGUCAAAUAGUUCCAUUGCUCCAACAGGUGGGGACGGCUGGACCGGGUUUUCUGCAGCCACCAGAUAAUACGCCAAAGGGCAUGGUUCAGCAUUAAUUAAUUACAUGGGAUCACACCCUCUAUUUUUCAGAGAAGUAAAAUUUGACCUUCUUAAAAUGUCUUUGAUCUAGCUCAAGUUCCAUUUGUAAUUAGAAAAAAGAAAUCCAGUCUUGGAAACUAGUGUCAGUGGAAUUAGACAUGAAGUUAAUCUAGGGAUAUAAAUAAAUGCACGUGCUUGUACUGUUAGAUAAGAAAAUUAUGACACACUGCUUGGGCAACUGCUUGUUUGCAGGAAUUUUAGAUAACUGCAAGCCAUAAAUUUUUUCUUUACGUCAUUCUAGCCUAUAAAAAUUGGUUGGGGCAAGCAGUCCUAGUGUUUUUGUAGGAAUUCUACCUUGGUAUGCUAUCAAAAAGACUGGGUAGAUUUUUCUAGGGGAUUCCAUAGAGUCUGAAAGGUGGUUUUCAUGUAACUAUUUCUAAAUUGGCAAAGUUUAAGGAAUUUUGUGUAUGCUUUUGGAAAAUCCCAUAACCAUUUAAGGAAAUAAAAUAUAUAAAAUUUAACAAGCUCAUGGAAAUCUUUAUGCCCAAUGAGUGAAUGACUUUUUAUGCUUUAUACCCAUCCAUUAAUUUUCAUAAAGUGUUAUUAAUAAUCACAUUAUUUAUAAAGUUUAGGAAAAUAUGAAAAUUCAAGCUUAGAAUGUUCCUUCAGGUCAUGCUCAAGCAGGCAGUUUUUUCCUUUUCAUCUUGUGUGUGUGUUAUAUCAAUGAUUUAUAUUCAGAAUUUCCUAUUACAAGUUUUUUUUUUUUUUUUUUUUUUUUAAAGAGAGAGAGAGAGAGAUAGAGGUAGAGAGAGAGAGAAUUUUUUUUUUUAAUAUUUAUUUUUUAGUAUUUGGCGGACACAACAUCUUUGUUUGUAUGUGGUGCUGAGGAUCGAACCCGGGCCGCACGCAUGCCAGGCGAGCGCGCUACCGCUUGAGCCACAUCCCAGCCCCCCUAUUACAAGUUUUAAAGUGCAUUUAUUUAUUUGGUUGGCUGUCUGGCAUUGACCAGCCUUUUUUUUUUUUUUUUUUAGAGGUUCGUUAUACAAGGUCUCUAGAGAAUGACAUUUUUGGUUAAACUGAUCCUUAUGGAUUGGCAUAAUUUUAAGGUGGCAAAUUAAGUUUUCCUUUAGUAAAUAAUCUGAAAGGUAUUUAAAUAGUAUGUUUUUUCUCAAUGUGAAUAUUAAAACAUAUGGUAGUUAAUUUUACCAUUGGAAAUGUAAAUCACUAUGAUUUUGUUGUAGUUUUUAAUUCUAAAAAGGUAUAUUUUUAAGUGGAUCAUUAAAUCACCUGCUAAACUAAAAGGGAUUAAAAUUUUGAAGUAUUUCUUCUAAAAUAUGUAAUUAUUACUCCUAUCUACCAGCUUCUAACUUGUCUACAUUAUGCUUUUUAAUUAUAGAGUCAUCACAUCCUAUCACUAAAUGGAACUUUAAAGAUGGCCUGGCUGAACUUCCUUUCUUUGUGAGCAAGGAAAUUAAGAGCAAGUUAAAUGACUUGCCAAAGGUCAAAUAUUCUAAUGAUAUUGAUGCCAGGAACAGAAGUUGCGUUUCUUGCACCUAGAAAAUGUAACCUUACUCAGUUUUGAACUUUGAUAUUACUGAGAUUUUUUGCUGCUGUUCAAUAACAAAAUAAGGUUUGGGGAAAUCUGUUACUCUGUCUUGUAUAGAGGAGGAAAAACUCAAAUCAUUUGACAAAAGUAUUGCUCUUCAGAAAAAUGAAAUUUGUUUUAAAAACAUCUCUUCCUUAAGCUUCUUGGGGCAUCUUGGUUGCCUCCAGAGGAUGUCAAAUGCUAUUUCUUUAUUGUUACCUUGUCCUUUAAUUUCCUAACUCUGUGUGUGUGUGCAUUCUGAUUUGUUGAUUUGUUUGGAUCACUUUCCUCUUUCUUCAUCCCUUCUCUUCUCCUAGUAUCUUCUCCAUUCCAGCAAAUGAAUCCCUUAUUUCAGAUGAGAUUAGGCAUGUGCAGCAUGGGGUGGCUAUAGACAAAUCUCUGUAUUUCCAUUUGUUUCAUACAAAGAGAUUGACAAAUAUCUGCCUGCAUAUCCAUCCUCAUUCAUGUACAUUCAUGAUUUUUUUUUGUCAAAUUAUUUUUUCAAUUGGUUUUGUGUCAUAGGAGUGGGAUUCUUAUGUCAAAAGCUAUGUAAUAAUAAUAGCAACAAAACAAAACAAGAUAAAUAGCUAACAUAUAUAACAAACAAAACAUAGCUAACAUAUAAAAAAAUCUUACAUACUUUUAUUAUGUUUACAAGGAAUAUUUAGCAUCUAAUCUAUUCAAAAUACAUGUAAUAGUCCAUAUUUUUUGAAAUUGUUGUGAGGAUUAGAGCUAACAUAUGUAGCACUUAGAACAGUGGCACUAGGUGCUGUCUAUAUGAUAGCAGUAGGCACAGUUGUAAUUACUACAGUAUUGAUGAUGCUCAAGUAGAUUACAGGAAUGGAUUACUACUAUCUUUUUGGUACUAAUAAUAGUAUUUGUUAUUAUUAUGAUUAAUAUUGCUGCUACUUCUAUCACUACUACAAUUCCUUUGAUCUAGCAACCUUAUCCUGGGAAUCUAUACCUUAGGAGUAAAAGCAUCAGUAUACUUUAGUACAUGUACAAAACUUUUUUUUUUUUUUUCCCUUGGCAAGAGAUGGAAGUAUGGGGAUUGAACUCAGUAGCACUCAACCACUGAGCAACAUCUUCACUGAGCCACAUCCUUUGCCCUUUUUUGUAUUUUAUUUUAUUUUUUAUUUUAAUUUUUGCAUUAUAAUCCUUAUUACACACAUAGAGCACUAUUUUUCGUAUCUCUGUACAUACAGUAUGUUCACACCAACUUAUGCCAUUAUACAUGUACUCUUUUUAUUUUUUUGCAUUACAAUAGAAUCUUGCUGAGUUGCUCAGUGCCUGCCUUGUUGUUCCUGAGGCUGGCUUUGAACUCGCAAACCUCCUGCCUCAGCCUCCUGAGCU